AAAAAUAAGAGGAUUCAUUUUAGUUAGGCUCAUUCACAAAAACCAGGCGGACUCAUUCUGGAGUCAUAUGGCCUCCAAAAGCUCAGGCCAGAAGCGCACUGUCCUCCUGCCACACUCUAAUCUCUGGAAGAAUUUGUAGAGGCGCAGGAAGAAUCAAAAAGUCAAUCACUUCAGCGGAAGUUCUAAGGAAGUCCUUUCAUUGGCCAGAGGUCUUGGAGAAUGUGGGGGUUCCUCCCAGGUUAAAAGUUCCCUUCUUCCGCCCCUCUUCGGACACAGUGUUUGGAUCCCCUUCCAGCCUCGUGGAAGCUGUCUUUCUCUCUCCUGGAUUUCCCCUCUGGAGUCCCCUUCCACACUCUUCAUGGAAGUUUUCUCUUCUCCUUUUUCUCUUCCUCUACCUAAAAUAAAAUCACUUUUCUGCAAAAACUCUGUU
rnacentral:lncRNA from 1 species